AGCUUUGCUCAGUGGCAAUAUCGUAGCCAAUGAGGUUUAUCUGCGGCACGAUUAUUGCUAAUUGAAAACUCUACAGUAUCUU
rnacentral:snRNA from 1 species